rnacentral:rRNA from 1 species
AAUUUUCUGCAAUGGGCGCAAGCCUGACAGAGCAAUACCGCGUGAGGGAAGAAAGCCCACAGGGUUGUAAACCUCUUUUAUCAAGGAAGAAGUUCUGACGUUACUUGAUGAAUAAGCAUCGGCUAACUCCGUGCCAGCAGCCGCGGUAAGACGGGGGAUGCAAGUGUUAUCCGGAAUCACUGGGCGUAAAGCGUUUGUAGGUGGUUUAGUAAGUCUAUUGUUAAAGCUUGAAGCUUAACUUCAAAAAUGUGAUAGAAACUACUAGACUCGAGGAUAGUAGGGGUAAAGGGAAUUUCCAGUGGAGCGGUGAAAUGCGUAGAGAUUGGAAGGACCACCGAUGGCGAAGGCACUUUACUGGGCUAUCUCUGACACUAAGAGACGAAAGCUAGGGUAGCGAAAGGGAUUAGAUACCCCAGUAGUCCUAGCUGUA